CGAACGCUGGCGGCGUGCUUAACACAUGCACGUCGAACGGGAUUUAGUAAACGGAAGCCUCGGUGGAAGAUUACUAAUGAGAGUGGCGAACGGGUGAGUAACGCGUGAGCAACCUGCCUAUGACAGUGGGAUAGCCUCGGGAAACCGGGAUUAAUACCGCAUAAAAUCGUAGAAACACAUGUUUCAACGGUCAAAGAUUUAUCGGUCAUAGAUGGGCUCGCGUCUGAUUAGCUAGUUGGUGAGAUAACAGCCCACCAAGGCGACGAUCAGUAGCCGGUCUGAGAGGAUGAACGGCCACAUUGGAGCUGAGACACGGUCCAAACUCCUACGGGAGGCAGCAGUGGGGAAUAUUGCACAACGGGGGAAACCCUGAUGCAGCGACGCCGCGUGAACGAAGAAGGUAUUCGUAUCGUAAAGUUCUGUCCUAUGGGAAGAUAAUGACAGUACCAUAGAAGAAAGCUCCGGCUAAAUACGUG
rnacentral:rRNA from 1 species